GGUUAUAGCAAUUAAUUUGAUUUAUUAGUUUACCAUUAUAUACAAUUUUUCCUUCAAUUUUCCAGCAGCCUAACCCAAGCCCAUCUCCACAAAAACCAUCCCACUAAAUGUAAUACAACAUUCAGAAACAAUUUGACGUAAAUUGAUUUUCAACGUCUCUUUCUGCAGCCCCUACUGUUCUAGUACGGUGCUUUUGGCCAUGGCAGACUGGGUUUUUUCUGUUACAGCUGCUUCUCAUCCUUGCUCGCCUUGAGAUCGAGACACUUUUAGCAGCAAGGACGUUGGGAUUGAUCCUAGCCAUCCAUUCCCCUUUCCCUUUCCGGAAUAGGGUUAAGGCUUCAGAAAAAAAGGUUCCUUCAAAAAUGGAAUUUUUCAGAGUUUUGACUUUCGAAUUGGGCUUGGUCUCAUCCGAAUUUUGAUGGUUUUCCUGUUAAAUUUGACAAGAUUCAAAAAUGGAUUAAUGAGAAGAUAUGGUAGUUAGGAGGAUAAUUCUUCAUUAGUAGAAAAGUCAAGAUAGCAACUUUUGUAGGUGAAAUUUAGGUGAACCAUUGAUUUCACAAGGUAAAUGUUGACAUUUUAACAUAUUGUGAUGUCAUGGAUGACAUCAAUAGGAAGAAUUCACUAUUAUAAAUAGGUAGCUCCUAAUUCAUUUGUAACAUACCUCUCACUUGUCUUAUCAUCUCCUAAGGCAUUUGUUUUUCUUUCUCUCUUGUAGUAUUUCACUUGUACUCUUUUGGAGUGAAAUAAAUAUUGGUUGUUUGUGUCCGAGGAGUAGGCAAAAGAAAACAAAAGUUGCCGAACCUCGUUAAUUCCUGGUGUUCUUUUUUUUGUUGUCUCAUUUACUAUUUAUUAACUACCUUUAGAUAUAGUAGUUGUGAUUCCAUCACUCUCUAUAUAUUUAGCUUUCGCAACAUUUCCCCCUCUUUUCCAAAAUCCGAGCCCCCUUUCUAUAUAAUCGUUAUUGUCUCAUUGUUUUGGAGGAGAAAUAUAUAUAUAUAUAUAUAUAUAUAUAUAUAUAUAUGUAUAUAUACACACACAGAACCAGUAAGAUGGAAAGAAAAAGGACAUUAAAAUCAAAGCUCCUGAAGUCGCAUAGAGAUUGAAAACAAGUUUUUCUUUCAAUUUUGCUCUUGCCGACUUCUAUUUUAUUCAUCCAGGCUCAUUGGGUUUGUUUGUGGUCAUAGAAGCUCUAUCUUUUCUGUUCGUACUUGUCUCAAGUCGCUGCAUCUCGAAAGAUGCAUGACCAGGACAAAAUUUGUAUGCAAAUAGAGGAGGUGUUGACUUCAGUUGCAGAUCCAUUAAAAAAAUUUGCACAUCAUGAUUGAAAAACGAUUAUAUCUGUUGUUGAGGUUGAAGAUCAGAUCUAUGGCUGUAGAGAUAUAUUAUAGAUAAUAGUGUUUAUAGUUCAUUAUAUAUCUUAUACAUAUUUUCUUGAAUAUAAUUAAAUGUAUCAUUAACGUAUUUGUUAAUAAUUGUUUGUUCUAAAACUACAAAUACAGACCGAUGAUACUAUUAAGAAUAAGAAAUGACGGAUGUUUCAGAA